UACUAUAAGUGAGGCAAUAGUAAUCUUAUGAAGUGGGUCAGGUGCGGAAGCAAGCAGCUCUAAGUAUGAUUCCUAUGUGCCUUUUUUGUUUGAUCAAA
rnacentral:SRP_RNA from 1 species